AUCCAUGCCUUGUUCCCCAAGGACAUUUCAACUUCUCAUUCACUCUACUUGUCAUUAUAAUCAGCCAAAUUCUCUCCCAAUUUUCAGAAUUAUUGGAAUACAAAAAAAAUCAGUUACAAAAAAAUCUGAAAUCUUCUCCCUUGUUCCCUUCCUGUUCGAACCACCACCGCCGGUGGCUUCCUCCACGGCAACCCACCACCACCACCAAUACUCGCCACUGCCUACCACCCUAUAACCAACCACCACCAACGCCACCUUGUGGCCACCGCAAACACCCCGCAUCCCCUGCUUCCCCUCCCCUGUUCGUACUCCCUCUCCCUUUCCUUUGCUGUUCCGCCACCGCAAGACCAACCACCAUCAUCACCCAAUAUCGGCCCACCAUUCCCAGCCACCCUCACCGCCUAUACACCUCUGUCGCCACCCAUAAUCGACCGGAAACACCCGUUUCCUUGUUUUCCCCUGUUCGCUCGACCACAUCCCCUUCCUUGCUGUUUCGCCGCCGCGAACCACCACCACCACCACCGACUCUCCGGCGCAUCCCUGCUGCGCCGCCCAGCCAACCACCCCUGCCUCCCUUCCUCUUCCCCUGCUCCUCCUUCGUGCCCUCCCUUCCCCUGCUCUCGUGCCUCCCCUGCCUGUGUUUCCCUUUCCAGAAAAUAAGAGAAACAAGUUCCCUUUAGGAACCUUGUUCCUUUUAUUCCCGUAACCAGGCCCAAAUCCCUUAAGCCCAAUUUUUUCAAUAAAUUGGACUCGGAGUUCAGGAAGAACGAUCCAUCGAACAUGAAGUAUAAACUACGGGAGGUACGAAGAAGAUCGUGGGAUGCCUUAGAGUGAGGAUGCAACCAUCAAAUUCACGAUCGAUGUUUAAUAAAGAUAACUAUGUCAUUAGCAAUAAAGGGAUGUAUUAUUUAAAGUCUAAGUUUGAUUUCAUGAUUUGAGUUAGACUUUAAUAUUAAUGUUUAAUCAGAUGUUAAAAGUAUUUAUUAUUAAAGUUUAUUUAGUAAUUUAAAAAGGUUAUGUCGCCUUGUAUUUCCCACGAGGGAAAUAGGCAUGUGACGCUCCGACUAAAUUAGGGUUUCCGCUGCUAAUUAAAGAUAAUUAACCUAAUUAAUGGUGUUUAGAAGUCGGGGCGUUACAGUUAGACUUAAAGGGUUGGGUUAGAGAUAAAGAGAUGGAUAUGAUUAAAUUAAGGGUGUGGAUAAGAAUACAGAAUUAGCGAGUGAGUUAAAAAAUAAAGUAUUUUCUCUUAUGUGCAUAUUAGUAAAGAAUAAAAUUGAGAUAAGUGGCAAAAUCAUUGCAAUAUUCUUACAAACGCUCUUCAUCACUUCCCUCUUUUCUUUUGUUUAAGGAGUUUCUUGUUCUCGAAAGAGGAAGGGGAAGAGAUUUGUAAUUACCACUCGGACAAGUCUCUUCGAUAGAGAUUGAGAUAAGGAUAAGACCUCUUUUA